rnacentral:rRNA from 1 species
GACGAACGCUGGCGGCGUGCUUAACACAUGCAAGUCGAACGAAGUGGCGAACGGGUGAGUAACGCGUAAUCAACCUGAUCUUCAGAGGGGUACAACAGUUGGAAACGACUGCUAAUAACGCAUACUGAAGGAGGGGAUUGCGUCUGAUGAGCUAGUUGGAGGGGUAACGGCACACCAAGGCUAUGAUCAGUAGCCGGACUGAGAGGAGGAACGGGCACAUUGGGUCGGAGACACGGCCCAGACUCCUACGGGGGGCAGCAGUGGGGAAUCUUCCGGAAUGGACGAAAGUCUGACGGAGCAACGCCGCGUGAGUGAUGACGGCCUUCGGGUGGGAAAGCUCUGUUAAGCGGGAAGCGGUACCGGAAUAGAAAGCCACGGCUAACUACGUGCCAGCCGCCGCGGUAAUUC